rnacentral:rRNA from 1 species
GACGAACGCUGGCGGCGUGCUUAACACAUGCAAGUCGAACGGAAAGGCCCUGCUUUUGUGGGGUGCUCGAGUGGCGAACGGGUGAGUAACACGUGAGUAACCUGCCCUUGACUUUGGGAUAACUUCAGGAAACUGGGGCUAAUACCGGAUAGGAGCUCCUGCUGCAUGGGGGGGGAUGGAAAGUUUCGGCGGUUGGGGAUGGACUCGCGGCUUAUCAGCUUGUUGGUGGGGUAGUGGCUUACAAAGGCUUUGACGGGUAGCCGGCCUGGGAGGGUGACCGGCCACCUUGGGACUGAGAUACGGCCCAGACUCCUACGGGAGGCAGCAGUGGGGAAUAUUGCACAAUGGGCGGAAGCCUGAUGCAGCAACGCCGCGUGCGGGAUGACGGCCUUCGGGUUGUAAACCGCUUUCGCCUGUGACGAAGCGUGAGUGACGGUAAUGGGUAAAGAAGCACCGGCUAACUACGUG